rnacentral:tRNA from 1 species
ACCAUUGUGGUGCAAUGGUUAGCAUUGUAGGUUCAUGCCCUAUAGAAGGUGGUUCAAUUCCAUCCGAUGGUU